rnacentral:lncRNA from 1 species
GCCCUAACUGUCAGCUGUUAUAAACCACCUCAAUCUGCUCUGACCUUGGCCAAUUCCUGUGUAUUUGCCCUACUGACUCUCCAACUGAAAUAAACAACUGUAAUCCCGAGCUCCUGACACCACCGUAUUUAUCUGUAAAAAUGAUUACAUUGUGGCAAAGGCAGCGAUGUGAUUGCACCCGGGGACAAAACCACAAGCAAAGAGCUGGGCUAGAAAGGCGCUGCUUCCUGUUCAGACACAAACAGUGUUAGCAAUUAGCUAACAAGGCAACACCAAUUAGAAUAAACCCAGUGAAAGUGUCAAAACUUCAUGGGACGGGAGGAGGAGGAAGAGAAGAGCCAUGGUCCAACUUAAUCCUUACACCGGGCAAAAGUACCACAUCAUUGCACUGCCCUCUGCAGGAUUCAGAUCGAAGGUAGGUGGAGAACACUUCCUGUCUUAUAAAUAAUUAGAGAUGAAAAUUCAAGAAAAACCACCACUCCUAUGAUAGUUAAGGCAACAGCAGUAGAGCAAAAGGGGCUGAUGCAAAUUGAGUUUUC